rnacentral:rRNA from 1 species
GUUUGAUCCUGGCUCAGGAUGAACGCUGGCGGCGUGCCUAACACAUGCAAGUCGAACGGACUUUUCAUGAAGCCUAGCGAUUGAAAAGUUAGUGGCGGACGGGUGAGUAACGCGUGGGUAACCUGCCUUGUACUGGGGGACAACAGUUGGAAACGACUGCUAAUACCGCAUAAGCGCACAGCUUCGCAUGAAGCAGUGUGAAAAACUCCGGUGGUACAAGAUGGACCCGCGUCUGAUUAGCUGGUUGGUGAGGUAACGGCCCACCAAGGCGACGAUCAGUAGCCGGCCUGAGAGGGUGAACGGCCACAUUGGGACUGAGACACGGCCCAAACUCCUACGGGAGGCAGCAGUGGGGAAUAUUGCACAAUGGGGGGAACCCUGAUGCAGCAACGCCGCGUGAGUGAAGAAGUAUUUCGGUAUGUAAAGCUCUAUCAGCAGGAAAGAAAAUGACGGUACCUGACUAAGAAGCCCCGGCUAACUACGUGCCAGCAGCCGCGGUAAUACGUAGGGGGCAAGCGUUAUCCGGAUUUACUGGGUGUAAAGGGAGCGCAGGCGGUGCGGCAAGUCUGAUGUGAAAGCCCGGGGCUCAACCCCGGUACUGCAUUGGAAACUGU